rnacentral:lncRNA from 1 species
CGUGGUGGAGGAGGGGGGGGGGGGGGGGGCGUGGUGGAGGGAGACGUGGUGGAGGAGGGGGGGGGGGGGACGUGGCGGGAGAAUAGUUUAAAAUUCCCUGUUGUUAGAGUUUAACAUCCCGAUGCCCAACAGGCCUCAAAAACCCACGAACGCUUCAGUGAAGAUGCUUUUUCUCAUCCUGUGCCUUAGAGAAGUUUAAUGAUCUUUAGAGAAGUUUAAUGAUCUUUAGAGAAGUUUAAUGAUCUUUAGAGAAGUUUAAUGAUCUUUAGAGAAGUUUAAUGAUCUUUAGAGAAGUUUAAUAUCUCCCUUUACUGACGGUGGCUUUUCUCUACAACCAGUUUCAACACUUUUUUUUUUUAAAGAUUCACCUUGAAAAUAUUUAUAAAAAGUUUUAUUUCCCAUUUAAAUUUCUUGUUUAUUGAAUCAGGACUUCCUUCCUUAACUCUCCCCCCUUUAAACGAAAUGAAGAGGACAUGGUGCUUUCUGGGAAAUGAAGUUCUAGUUGUGAAAGUUUGAUUUGAGUUUUUUUCCAAAAGGCACAUCAAGAGUUCUCUUCAAAAACACUAAACAUGUUCUCUGCUGUCGUGUUUCCAAACAUACCGUUUAUAUAUUCCAUCUUGUGAUGAAGAUGAUUUACGUUUGUUUUCCAGGUUUUGAUUUGUAACACGAUGUCAGUAAAAAGCUUUAAACAAUGAAACUUAAUAUUAAAUAUUAAAGGACAUUUACCGUUUCUUCUCAACUGGAGUCUUAUUUUGUAGGUUUUCCAUCAUUUCCUGUUUCUGCUCUGAGAACAAUAUCACCAGAAGAAGUUUAUUGUGAAAGUGUUUAAUAUUUACUACAGUCGAGGAAAACAACUCAUUGGUAACUAUUACUUUCUAAUUGUUUCAGAAUUAUCAAUAUUUUUUGGACAUUUUAUUCUCCAAUUGUGUUGUGUGUGUUUGUUGUUGUGUUGGUUGGUUGUGUGUUGUGUGUGGUUGUUGUGUGUGGUGUGUGGUUGUGUGUGGGGUUGUGUGUGUGUGGUGUGUGUGUGUUGUGUGUGUGUGUGGUUGUGUGUGUGUGUGUGUGGUGUGUGUGUGUGUGGUGUGUUGUGUGUGUGUGGUUGUGUUGUGUGUGGUUGUGUUGUGUGUGGUUGUGUUGUGUGGCGUGUGGUUGUGUUGUGUGGCGUGUGGUUGUGUUGUGUGUUUGUGUUGUGUGGUGGUUGUGUUGUGUGUGUGUGGGUUGUGUUGUGUGUGGUUUGUGUUGUGUGUGUGUUGUGGUUGUGUGUGUGUGGUUGUGUUGUGUGUGGUUGUGUUGUGUGUGUUUGUGGUUGUGUGUGUGUUGUGUGUGUGUGGUUGUGUUGUGUGUGUUUGUGGUUGUGUGUGUGGUUAUGUUGUGUGUGUGUGUGUUGUGUGUGUGGUUGUGUUGUGUGUGUGGUUGUGUGUUUGUGGUUGUGUGUGUGUGUGAGAGAAAGAAGCUCACUUUGUUUGUUUUCCGUUUUUUCCAUUUCAAGUUUUAUCUUUAAUUUAUCCCCCUCUUUCUCCAUU